rnacentral:rRNA from 1 species
AGAGUUUGAUCCUGGCUCAGGAUGAACGCUGGCGGCGUGCUUAACACAUGCAAGUCGAACGAACCUUCGGGUUAGUGGCGGACGGGUGAGUAACGCGUGAGAAUCUGCCCUCAGGAGGGGGAUAACGGCUGGAAACGGCCGCUAAUACCCCAUAUGCCGAGAGGUGAAACGAAUUUCGCCUGAGGAUGAGCUCGCGUCUGAUUAGCUAGUUGGUGGGGUAAAGGCCUACCAAGGCAUCGAUCAGUAGCUGGUCUGAGAGGAUGAUCAGCCACACUGGGACUGAGGCACGGCCCAGACUCCUACGGGAGGCAGCAGUGGGGAAUUUUCCGCAAUGGGCGCAAGCCUGACGGAGCAACGCCGCGUGAGGGAUGAAGGCCUCUGGGCUGUAAACCUCUUUUAUCAAGGAAGAAGAUCUGACGGUACUUGAUGAAUAAGCCACGGCUAAUUCCGUGCCAGCAGCCGCGGUAAUACGGGAGUGGCAAGCGUUAUCCGGAAUUAUUGGGCGUAAAGCGUCCGCAGGCGGUCUUGUAAGUCUGUCGUUAAAGCGUGGAGCUUAACUCCAUUUAAGCGAUGGAAACUGUAAGACUAGAGUGUGGUAGGGGCAGAGGGAAUUCCCGGUGUAGCGGUGAAAUGCGUAGAUAUCGGGAAGAACACCAGUGGCGAAGGCGCUCUGCUGGGCCAUAACUGACGCUCAUGGACGAAAGCCAGGGGAGCGAAAGGGAUUAGAUACCCCUGUAGUCCUGGCCGUAAACGAUGAACACUAGGUGUCGGGGGAAUCGACCCCCUCGGUGUCGUAGCCAACGCGUUAAGUGUUCCGCCUGGGGAGUACGCACGCAAGUGUGAAACUCAAAGGAAUUGACGGGGGCCCGCACAAGCGGUGGAGUAUGUGGUUUAAUUCGAUGCAACGCGAAGAACCUUACCAGGGUUUGACAUCCUGCGAAUCUCUUGGAAACGAGAGAGUGC